CCUACGGGUGGCAGCAGUGGGGAAUAUUGGACAAUGGGCGAAAGCCUGAUCCAGCCAUGCCGCGUGAGUGAAGAAGGCCUUCGGGUUGUAAAGCACUUUCAGUGGGGAAGAAAGCCUUGGGGCUAAUACCCUCGAGGAAGGACAUCACCCACAGAAGAAGCACCGGCUAACUCCGUGCCAGCAGCCGCGGUAAUACGGAGGGUGCGAGCGUUAAUCGGAAUUACUGGGCGUAAAGCGCGCGUAGGCGGUCUGAUAAGCCGGUUGUGAAAGCCCCGGGCUCAACCUGGGAACGGCAUCCGGAACUGUCAGGCUAGAGUGCAGGAGAGGAAGGUAGAAUUCCCGGUGUAGCGGUGAAAUGCGUAGAGAUCGGGAGGAAUACCAGUGGCGAAGGCGGCCUUCUGGACUGACACUGACGCUGAGGUGCGAAAGCGUGGGUAGCAAACAGGAUUAGAUACCCCUGUCGUC
rnacentral:rRNA from 1 species